rnacentral:rRNA from 1 species
AGUGAACGCUGGCGGUAGGCCUAACACAUGCAAGUCGAACGGCAGCACAGUAAGAGCUUGCUCUUACGGGUGGCGAGUGGCGGACGGGUGAGGAAUACAUCGGAAUCUACUUUUUCGUGGGGGAUAACGUAGGGAAACUUACGCUAAUACCGCAUACGACCUACGGGUGAAAGCAGGGGAUCUUCGGACCUUGCGCGAUUGAAUGAGCCGAUGUCGGAUUAGCUAGUUGGCGGGGUAAAGGCCCACCAAGGCGACGAUCCGUAGCUGGUCUGAGAGGAUGGUUACCCCACCUGGAACCGAGAACCGGUCCAAAACCCCUCGGGGAGAAAGGGUGGGGAAAUAUUGACAAUGGGGCCAAAGCCUAUCCCGGCCAAACGGCGGGGGUAAGAAGGCCUUCUGGUUGUAAAGCCCUUUUGUUGGGAAAGAAAAGCAGCAGGUUAAUACCCCGCUGUUCUGACGGUACCCAAAGAAUAAGCACCGGCUAACUUCGUG